rnacentral:tRNA from 1 species
ACCAGGGUGGCUCAGUUGGUUGGGCGUCUGACUUCGGCUCAGGUCAUGAUUUCACGGUUUGUGAGUUCGAGUCCCACUUCAGGCU